rnacentral:misc_RNA from 1 species
UAUAUCACUAGCAGCACCUCGGCCUUUCCGACACCUGGUCAAGCAGAACCAGUAACCGCCGAAGAAACAGAAAGAGGAGAGGAAGAUGACGAACAAGAAUCAGAUGAAGACUUGAACGAAGAGCCAGGGGGAAAUGAAAACAGUGAUGGUGAAGGUGACAAAAAGGAUAAUGGUAGUAAUGAUGAUGACGAAGAUGAGGAUGAAGAAGACGAACAAGAACCAGAUGAUGAAGAUAAUGAUGAUGAAGAUGACGAUGACGAAGAGGAUAAUUCAUAAAUAAAGCAUACUUGCUAGCACCUUCUUUUCUUAUUCGUCAUAGAGUCCCUUCUAUUAACUUUUUUGAUGACUAUCU